GAUGAACGCUGGCGGCGUGCUUAACACAUGCGAGUCGAACGAGAAGUGAAGACGGAAACCUUCGGGCGGAAGGCUUUAUUUCGAGUGGCGGACGGGUGAGUAACGCGUGGGUAACCUGCCUCAUACAGGGGGAUAACAGUUGGAAACGACUGUUAAUACCGCAUAAGACCACAGCACCGCAUGGUGCGGGGGUAAAAACUCCGGUGGUAUGAGAUGGACCCGCGUUCGAUUAGCCAGUUGGCGGGGUAACGGCCCACCAAAGCGACGAUCGAUAGCCGAUCUGAGAGGAUGACCGGCCACAUUGGGACUGAGACACGGCCCAAACUCCUACGGGAGGCGGCAGUGGGGAAUAUUGCACAAUGGGGGAAACCCUGAUGCAGCGACGCCGCGUGAGUGAAGAAGUAUUUCGGUAUGUAAAGCUCUAUCAGUAGGGAAGAAAAUGACGGUACCUGAGUAAGAAGCCCCGGCUAACUACGUG
rnacentral:rRNA from 1 species